rnacentral:rRNA from 1 species
CCAAUAGCGUAUAUUAAGGUUGUUGCAGUUAAAAAGCUCGUAGUUGAAUUUCGGGAUCAAUAUGUCGGUCGUGCCUCGGUACGUACUGGCGUCAUUGGUUUCUCCCUCCUGAAGAACCGCGAUGUCAUUAAUUUGGUGUCGUGGGGAAUCAGGACUGUUACUUUGAAAAAAUUAGAGUGUUUAAAGCAGGCUCACGCUUUAAUACACAUUAGCAUGGAAUAAUGAAAUAGGCCGGUUAAUUCUAUUUUGUUGGUUUGUAGGAUUGACGUAAUGAUUAAUAGGGAUAGUUGGGGGCAUUAGUAUUCAAUUGUCAGAGGUGAAAUUCUUGGAUUUAUUGAAGACUAACUACUGCGAAAGCAUUUGCCAAGGAUGUUUUCAUUAAUCAAGAACGAAAGUUAGGAGAUCGAAGACGAUCAGAUACCGUCGUAGUCUUAACCAUAAACUAUGCCGACUAGGGAUCGGAUGAUGUUGAUUUUUUAAUGACUCAUUCGGCGCCUUACG